rnacentral:rRNA from 1 species
UCCGUAGGUGAACCUGCGGAAGGAUCAUUACCGUUGGAGUUCGCUCCAAUCUGGGGUAGAACCCUUGCCUUUGAGUACCUUCUCGUUUCCUCGGUGGGCUCGCCCGCCGGUGGACAACCAUAAACUCUCUGUAAUAGCAGUAUCUUCUGAGAAAAACAAAUAGUCAAAACUUUCAACAACGGAUCUCUUGGUUCUGGCAUCGAUGAAGAACGCAGCGAAAUGCGAUAAGUAGUGUGAAUUGCAGAAUCCAGUGAAUCAUCGAAUCUUUGAACGCACAUUGCGCCCUUCGGUAUUCCGUUGGGCAUGCCUGUUCGAGCGUCAUUUAAACAUUCAAGCUCAGCUUGGUGUUGGGUGCUUGUCCUCCCCCGCGGUGGACUCACCUCAAAUGCAUUGGCGGCCGGUAUGUUGGCUUCGAGCGCAGUAGAAACGCGCCAGACGUCCUGACAUGCUGGUCCCCCACAAGACCUUCUUUUAUCUUGACCUCGGAUCAGGUAGGGAUACCCGCUGAACUUAAGCAUAUCAAUAAGCGGAGGAAAAGAAACCAACAGGGAUUGCCCUAGUAACGGCGAGUGAAGCGGCAACAGCUCAAAUUUGAAAUCUGGCCCUUUCAGGGUCCGAGUUGUAAUUUGUAGAGGGCGCUUUGGUGUUGGCUGCGGUCUAAGUUCCUUGGAACAGGACGUCACAGAGGGUGAGAAUCCCGUACGUGGUCGACAGUCUUCACCGUGUAAAGCCCCCUCGACGAGUCGAGUUGUUUGGGAAUGCAGCUCUAAAUGGGAGGUAAAUUUCUUCUAAAGCUAAAUAUUGGCCAGAGACCGAUAGCGCACAAGUAGAGUGAUCGAAAGAUGAAAAGCACUUUGGAAAGAGAGUCAAAAAGCACGUGAAAUUGUUGAAAGGGAAACGCUUGAAGU